AAAAAGUGAUUCCGUAUCAAGGUGAUAUAUUAUGAUGGACAGCUGCCCCGACACGUGUCCUGCUCACACAUUCGGGGUAAAUAAGGUCAAGCGGCGGUGCCGUCUACGCACGCCGCCGGCGGGGCCCAUAUGCGAGGCACGACGGGGAGAAAUAGCAAAGCUGUGUGAAAUUCUAUCAGCGUAAACGGUUCUCAGCGCCACCGCAGAUUUCGUUCUCACUCGUUCCGUGUGUGUGUGUGUGUGUGUGUGUGUGUGUGUGUGUGUGUGUGUGUCCCGGGAAUAAUGUCCUCAGAUCACUGCUGCAAUCUAGCUGCCCAUAUGUUCCGCCGUGUUCCGACUCACUUAAAAUCUCGACUUUGUCCACCCCCACCCCCAAAAAAAUCUUUCAUCUAUCUCCAUUCACACACUCACAUCAAGAUUAAGGCUUUGUCAGAGAUUUGCCCGGGAUUGCCAAAUCUAAACAUGGCAGGAUUUCUCAGAUUUUGUGAAAGGAGGUCUUGGUCUCUUGGUUGCCAUAGCAACGCAAAACAUUUUAUUGAGAUGUAACUAUAAAUAUCAACACUCCUGCGUUUGCAAACGCAAUCAUUGUCAAUUUUUGAUGGAUGCCGUUUGUGCCAUUUUUACACGGCGAUAAUGUAGUGGUUGUUACGCAAAUGCAUCUCAAAUACUUAAGGGCGGGGGGGGGGGGCAUAAUCACAACUUUAUCACAAUUUGUCAUAAUGUGAUUUCCUCCGAUGAUAACGAUUACCCACAAGCCAUCAUCAUCAGUUGCGGUAUAUUGCUCACGCUGUUGAACGGAAUCGUAUCGUCCGUGAGGCAUAAAAUUAACUUGCGCAAAUUACAUGAGUGGGGAUCCGGAAAUUGAUAACGGAAAAACCUCACCAUCAUUGGAUUGGAUCGCAUUUAAGUCGGGGUGCGGGGGGAAACCAGUGCAGAAUACCGACCCCACCCACUUGCAAGCUACAAUCGUAUCCUUUGAGUGCUUUCCUUUUCGGAGAGAGGGGAAAAAAAUUGGUAUUAAUCUGCUAACGAUUUAAAGCUCUUUCGGCGUUAGUAGAAAUGGGAACCCGCUCUCACACUCAACGGCAGCUUAACGUUGGUUUUUCAAGGCAACCGAGUGGACAAGGUUGACAUUUAGCAUCUUAAUCUGAAAAGGGUGGGGGGAGUGAGUGUGACAUUGUGCAUUAGACUGGAUUAAUCCUCCUCACUUAUUGACCCUUGAUAUUAUUGAUAUUAUCCACGCAAAUGGGUUGAGAAGGACAAGCGAGACCCGCAGAUACAAACGCACUUAGGCGGAUGGGGGGGGGGGGGGGGAUACUCGAGGGUGCACGGAAAAGGUGGAGUCAUUUAGCGAGGACCAAGAGAGAGUUUUCUCUUCCAUGUGUGUGUGUGAGUGUGUCUGGCUUAAAGAGGGUCAAUGGCGUGGGUCAGGCAUCAUAUGGAGAGGCAGAUGUUGCAACAUAUUGUCCUGGAUUACCGCGCUGUACACCGGAGAAAUGGACGACAGGCGGGCAACAGGCAGACGGUUGAAGAGGGAACGGUGGUGGGGGAGGGGAGGGGGGGGCGUGAGAGACAAAAAGACACAUGAGAGGCAGCAAUCGAGAAGUCAGCCAGCGAUACGUUCGUGAAUCGAUACUCAGCACCCGCUGAAUCUUGA